AACGAACGCUGGCGGCAGGCUUAACACAUGCAAGUCGAGCGCGUAGCAAUACGAGCGGCAGACGGGUGAGUAACGCGUGGGAAUCUACCCAUCCCUACGGAACAACUCCGGGAAACUGGAGCUAAUACCGUAUACGUCCUUAUGGAGAAAGAUUUAUCGGGGAUGGAUGAGCCCGCGUUGGAUUAGCUAGUUGGUGGGGUAAUGGCCUACCAAGGCGACGAUCCAUAGCUGGUCUGAGAGGAUGAUCAGCCACACUGGGACUGAGACACGGCCCAGACUCCUACGGGAGGCAGCAGUGGGGAAUAUUGGACAAUGGGCGCAAGCCUGAUCCAGCCACGCCGCGUGAGUGAUGAAGGCCCUAGGGUUGUAAAGCUCUUUCACCGGUGAAGAUAAUGACGGUAACCGGAGAAGAAGCCCCGGCUAACUUCGUGCCAGCCGCCGCAGUAAAAC
rnacentral:rRNA from 1 species